rnacentral:lncRNA from 1 species
UCAUAACAAUGAAUUUAUUCGAAGUAAAUUAAACAUAAUACCAAUUUAUUAAUGAAUAUCAAACAAUACAAACUUAAUACAACUGCUUGCAUAUAAGCAAAACACAUUUCAGUGUUACUUUUGAAAAUAAAACAAUCAUGAACAAAAAACGGUAUCAAUCUCCACUGAAAGUGCUUCGUGCUGGUUCUAUUGUCACAUCACUCUUGAAUUACCUUCAACAAAGAUCCAGAUCUCUUCUUCUACACCAUCUUGUGAGAUGUAUCAUCCUUCAGCAAACAACGAUGAUGCAGAAAACUCAAGAACAAAUGAAGGCCAAGGACACGAAUCUGCAGAUAGAGUUAGGCCGAAAAACGAAAUCCAAAAAGACUUAUAGUAAAUUUUACAAUGAAACUACAAAAUGUCUAACCAUCCUUUUUAAAGCACACAACCAGAUCCAAAAAACCAGUAAAAAAUAUCAGAAUUAAACAAACAGAAAGAACUAUUUCAAACAUAUAUGCAUCACUAUAGCAAGGUUAUUCAACAGCAAGAACAUACAUAACAGAUGGGAGGAGAGAAAGGUGUAGAGCUCCCUUCAAUCCAAAGAAGGAUAAUACGACAAAGGCAGAUGAAGCUCCCCAGAUAUGGAAGCCACAAGACUACCACAAAACACGGUAAUGGGUAGAACUGUGGGAUCCAUAGCUAAGCAGCUCAAUCCACCCAGUAACAUCCUCGAUUGGACUUCAAGGAGCUCCACUCCAUAACCCCUUUUCUGUUCUUCCUUCAACCAUAACCCUAAAAAUUUUCCAACUUUAUUCAACCACCAAAAAUCAAAAUCAAGAUCAAGAACAUAAACAUAAACAUGACCAUGACCCCAAAGGAAGUAAAAAGCUGAUCUGAAACUCAAAUGGAUAAAGACCUGAGACCUGAAGGCAGGAAAACAAAGCACAGGCCUUUCUUUCUCUCUAGUUUUCUGAGAAAGAACAGCAAAACAAAAAGCUUAGAUCUGAGAUCUAGGAUCCUCCACAAGAUUAUUUGAGAGAAAAGAGUCAAUAUAUAUAUACAUGAAGUGGGUGGGCAUGAGAGAGAUACUCGAAAUGGAAAAGGCAGUGUUAAAUCUAGGCUGAACAACCCUAAUGGUAUUGAAAAAGGUUAUAAGGGUAAAGAGUCAAUAGAGAAGCCUUGACCAUAAUGAAAACCCUAUCUACUGAACCCUACUGGAAGCUACUCUCAUUGAGUUCCAUAAAUAAGGCAGAUGAAAGGGAACGCAUGCAAAUUUCACCAGCACAGCUCAGCUUUUUUAUCUUGAAAUCAUAAAAAAAUGUGUGGUAAAUGAAGAUAUGAUGGUAACGUGGUGGACCAGAUGCAGAGGUGCUAGCUGUUUUCUUUCUUUUGCUUUUGUUGGAUGCUUUAACGCCAUAUGUCUCGGGAAUCACCUUCCUUAGAUUCCCUCUGCAACCUCAUCACGUGCCCUUCUGCAAAACCCUCCCUCCAUUUCUACCCUAAUUUAUUACACUUUUUCACUCUUUCUCAUAC